GACGAACGCUGGCGGCGUGCUUAACACAUGCAAGUCGAACGGAAAGGCCCUGCUUUUGUGGGGUGCUCGAGUGGCGAACGGGUGAGUAACACGUGAGUAACCUGCCCUUGACUUUGGGAUAACUUCAGGAAACUGGGGCUAAUACCGGAUAGGAGCUCCUGCUGCAUGGUGGGGGUUGGAAAUUUUCGUCGGUUGGGGAUGGACUCGCGGCUUAUCAGCUUGUUGGUGGGGUAGUGGCUUACCAAGGCUUUGACGGGUAGCCGGCCUGAGAGGGUGACCGGCCACAUUGGGACUGAGAUACGGCCCAGACUCCUACGGGAGGCAGCAGUGGGGAAUAUUGCACAAUGGGCGGAAGCCUGAUGCAGCAACGCCGCGUGCGGGAUGACGGCCUUCGGGUUGUAAACCGCUUUCGCCUGUGACGAAGCGUGAGUGACGGUAAUGGGUAAAGAAGCACCGGCUAACUACGU
rnacentral:rRNA from 1 species